rnacentral:rRNA from 1 species
AAGUCGUAACAAGGUUUCCAUAGGUAAACCUGCGGAAGGAUCAUUAUUGAAUUUUUGAAAGGGGUUGUAGCUGAUCUAUGUAUUUAGAUAUGUGCACACCUCAUUCCAAAUUUUACACCCUUGUGCACCAUUUGUAGGCCGAUUUUGCAAAGAAUUGGUCUAUGUUUUUCACACACCCUAUAAAGUUUUGAAUGUCUUAUUUUAUAAGCUUUGUUAAGCUGAAAAAUUAAUACAACUUUCAACAACGGAUCUCUUGGCUCUCGCAUCGAUGAAGAACGCAGCGAAAUGCGAUAAGUAAUGUGAAUUGCAGAAUUCAGUGAAUCAUCGAAACUUUGAACGCACCUUGCGCUCCUUGGUAUUCCGAGGAGCAUGCCUGUUUGAGUGUCAUUAAAUUCUCAAUCCUCUCAAAUUCAUUUUUGGAGGGCUUGGAUUUGGAGUGUUGCUGGCCUUUAUCCAAAGGUUGGCUUCUCUUAAAUGUAUUAGCAUGUGCCAUUUUUUGUGGAUAGGCUUUGGUUUGAUAAUAUCUAUGCCAUCGCCGUGACGCAAAGGCCAGCUUCUAACAGUCUCUUUCUGAGACAAACUUUUUGACAUUUGACCUCAAAUCAGGUAGGAUUACCCGCUGAACUUAAGCAUAUCAAUAAGCGGAGGAAAAGAAACUAACAAGGAUUCCCCUAGUAACUGCGAGUGAAGCGGGAAAAGCUCAAAUUUGAAAUCUGGCAGUCACCGCUGUCCGAGUUGUAAUCUAGAGAAGUGCUUUCCGCGUUGGACCGUGUACAAGUCUCUUGGAACAGAGCGUCAUAGAGGGUGAGAAUCCCGUCUUUGACACGGACUACCAGUGCUUAUGUGAUGCGCUCUCAAAGAGUCGAGUUGUUUGGGAAUGCAGCUCAAAAUGGGUGGUAAAUUCCAUCUAAAGCUAAAUAUUGGCGAGAGACCGAUAGCGAACAAGUACCGUGAGGGAAAGAUGAAAAGAACUUUGGAAAGAGAGUUAAACAGUACGUGAAAUUGUUGAAAGGGAAACGCUUGAAGUCAGUCGCGUUGAUCAGAAAUCAACCUUGCUUUUGCAGGGCGUACUUUCUGGUUUUACGGGUCAGCAUCAAUUUUGAUUGUUGGACAAAAGCCAAUAUUUUUACAUCUUCGGGUGUAUAGCCUUUGGUUGCAUGCAACAGUUGGGAUUGAGGAACUCAGCACGCCGCAAGGCCGGGUCUCUUAGAUCACGUACGUGCUUAGGAUGCUGGCAUAAUGGCUUUAAUCGACC